CCCUUAGAUGUUCUGGGCCGCACGCGUGCUACACUGAACGGUUCAAUGGGUAAGGUAGUGCGAAAGCAUGACCUAAUCUCGAAAUCCGUUCGUGCUGGGGAUAGAAGCUUGCAAUUAUCCUUCUUGAACGAGGAAUACCUUGUAAGCGUGAGUCAUCAUCUCACGCUGAAUACGUCCCUGCCCUUUGUACACACCGCCCGUCGCUCCUACCUAUUGAGUGUUCCGGUGAGGCUUUGGGAGAAUGGCCUCAACAUGAGUUUAUCGUGUUUUGCCGUUUGAACUUAGUCAAACCUUAUCACUUAGAGGAAGGAGAAGUCGUAACA
rnacentral:rRNA from 1 species